rnacentral:rRNA from 1 species
CAAGUCGAACGCGAAAGUCCCGCAAGGGAUCAGUAGAGUGGCAAACGGGUGAGUAACGCGUGGGUGACCUGCCUUCGAGCGGGGGAUAACGUUUCGAAAGGAACGCUAAUACCGCAUGACAUCCUGCCUUUGAAGAGGUGGAGAUCAAAGCUGGGGAUCGUAAGACCUGGCACUUGAAGAGGGGCCCGCGUCCGAUUAGCUAGUUGGUGAGGUAACGGCUCACCAAGGCUCCGAUCGGUAUCCGGCCUGAGAGGGCGGACGGACACACUGGGACUGAGACACGGCCCAGACUCCUACGGGAGGCAGCAGUGGGGAAUUGUUCGCAAUGGGCGCAAGCCUGACGACGCAACGCCGCGUGGAGGAUGAAGAUCUUCGGGUCGUAAACUCCUUUCGAUCGAGACGAAUGGCCUCUGGGCUAAUCACCAGGGGAAUGACGGUACCGAGAGAAGAAGCCCCGGCUAACUCCGUGCCAGCAGCCGCGGUAAUACGGGGGGGGCAAGCGUUGUUCGGAAUUACUGGGCGUAAAGGGCUCGUAGGUGGCCAACUAAGUCAGACGUGAAAUCCCUCGGCUUAACCGGGGAACUGCGUCUGAUACUGGAUGGCUUGAGAUUGGGAGAGGGAUGCGGAAUUCCAGGUGUAGCGGUGAAAUGCGUAGAUAUCUGGAGGAACACCGGUGGCGAAGGCGGCAUCCUGGACCAACACUGACACUGAGGAGCGAAAGCCAGGGGAGCAAACGGGAUUAGAUACCCCGGUAGUCCUGGCCCUAAACGAUGAAUGCUUGGUGUGGCGGGUAUCGAUCCCUGCCGUGCCGAACCUAACGCAUUAAGCAUUCCGCCUGGGGAGUACGGUC